UCUGUCUCUCGCUGUGUGUGUGUGUGUGUGUGUGUGUGUGUGUAUGGGUUGGUUGGUUGGUUCUUCUAUCCUUGUUUGUAGCUUUGUCCACGUUCAUGUGUCUCACUUCUGCAUUUGUUUGUCUAUCUGUUUUUAGCUUAUUACGUUUGUCUGUCUGCCCAUAUGUACAAUGCCCCACUGUGCGUGUAGGGUUUCUGGUUGCAACAUCAAAGACCGGGGUUUGCAUGAGUUUCCCUCCCGAGGUCUCCAUCCUCAUGUUGACCAUCAGUGGAUAACUUUCCUCAUCUUGGAAGAGUCGCAAGAAAAUGUACGCGCUUCAGUCUGCAAUGCGCAUUUCACCCAGGAGUCCUUUUCAAAUUACUUGGACUUUCAAAUGAGGCAAACUUUGACUCAAUGAAAAUGUUGUUCCGACCAUCUACCCAGACAACGAGACUGUAAGUAAAGAAAGCUUCUCAGCUAGCUAGUUAGCUGAUCAAAUGUAAAUUCUAAACUUGCUUCUUCUAGUUAGCUACAUCAUUACAAGAAAUGAUUAUGCAAGUAAUUAGCUAGUUAGUUACCUAACGACAUUAGCUAGUUGACUAGCUAGCUGACUGCUGACUAGCUAGCUGUGAUAAAUGUAUGCUAUCAAAACAUCUGAAUUAAGUGAGUUCAGUUCAAGUUAGCUAGCUAGCUACCAACUAUUUGGUUUAGGGCAAAACAUAUCCAAAACUGUACAAUGUACAUAUAUUUACAGGUUUCUAGAACAAGAGAGAUCGGCUGCCAGACAGACCCGCCGCAGGCUUGUGAUUUAUCUGCGCGAGCAUCCCCACAAAGGAGGAGCAAGGAGUCCCUGACACACCUGUUCACAUGGUGAAGAAGUACAUUGUGUACAAAUAUUGUCUGCUGCAGCUUUUCCACUGUUGUCCGGUUUGCACCAGAACAUGGAACAUCACAAAGCGGUUCAAAGGCACCCUGAUUUCCACUGUCCAGAUAUGGCCUCACUGUGACCACAUCAAGACAUGGAAGAGUCAGCCGUAUGUGUCCGACACCCCUGCAGGCAACCUCCACCUAACUGCAGCUAUUGCUUUCACAGGCUCUUCUAUUGCUCAGACAAACAAGAUCCUGAAUGCACUAAAAGUGCAGAUCAUAUCUGAGUCGACCUUUUACAGCCAUCAGAAAACGGUCCAGCUUCCAACCAUAUACUGGCAGUGGAAGUCAGAGCAGAGAGUCAUCCAGCAGUAUGUCAGGGAACCUGUGGAUCUUGGAGGGGAUAUGACAGCAGACUUGCCUGGCCACUGUGCAAAAUGUGGUUCGUAAAAUGUAUUUGCAUGCUCGUAAAAUGUAUUUGUGGAGAAAGGUACACAUGCCUGCAUGUCCUACGCAUAUUUGACCAUACGCACACAUAUACAAAUGUCCACAAUUCUCUUGUGUUGGACGGACAUUGAUCUCAAACACUAACAUCUAACGGGGUCCUACACCAUGGUCAACUUCAACAUUAACAGAGUGCUUGAUGUACAACUUGUAAAGGUGAGCUUUUGAUCCGUGGAGUACCUUUUUACAUUUUACAUUUUAGUCAUUUAGCAGACGCUCUUAUCCAGAGCGACUUUUCAGUGCCAUGUUGGUAAUGGCAAUCCUGAAUCCUGAUUUGGGGGCCUCUGUGCCCAGCCUAACAAAGAUUGAGGGAAACAUUGCUAAUGAUACUGUUAAUCUCUUCCACAGAGCAACGAAGUUGGCAAUAGUCUGAGAAUGGAGAAGGAGGGACUGCUGAGGAGCAUCGUGUCAGAUGUCAGCAUCGGCUCCAUUAUCACAGAUCAACACAUCUCAAUCCAGUAGUACCUGAGGGAGGAGAUGCCUGACAUUAAGCACUACUACGAUGGGUAGCAUGUGGCUAAAUAUAUGUAGUUGUUCAAUUUUCAAUUUUCAGAAAGUGUGGGUAUGACGGGGGGACUGCACAGGCAACAAGUAUGUGUAAUAAUCUGUCUGUUAUUUUGCAUCUAUCCAACUGUGUGGAAAAAACGUGAUGCCCUUGGGAAGGAGAGAGACUGUGAGACGGUUAGGGGCUGGCGAAGGUCAAUGUGAAUGUUAAACAUACUUGUGAUGUUCACUCACAUGUCUGACAUGUUGUCUUACAGACUUCUCCUUGCAGCCAUUCACUACAACGAGAAUGCAGACAGGCCUCAGGCAACCACUGCAGCCGGAGAACCCAGGUUCAUGAUUCUGUUCCCUAAGUGGAAGAAAGGAGACUACUCCACCAAAAUUUUGAAAUCUCAUCCUAUGUAUGCUAAGUCCACAAACUCCUUGGCGCUACUGUUCCAGGAUGUUGUGUGAGAUUCAGGGCCAUACCAACAGCUGCUGGAAAGCGUGACUAUCAUAGCCCCCCUCUGCAUUGAAUACGACCGACCGGAGAAGAGUGACGCCGUGGCCAAACACCAGUCUUGCUUUGCCUCUCUGGAGAAUGCUUGAGGACUGCUAUUGCUUUAGCAAUAGUGUGAUGACCGGAGACUGGAUGAGAAAGCAGUUGCAGCCGUCAACACAGUAAAUGUGUUCUACCGCCACACACUGAAGUACUGCGCCCAGAGUGCAGUCUACACAUUCAUUCAAGUAUAGUGAAGGACUGCUGUGCUGCGUGAGACCAGAUGGACAGAUGCUGAGUCAGUGGUUAUAUUGCAAUAAAGUUUUGAUUUAAUUGUAGCAUUUAAAUAAAGUGAGGAUGUUUACACAA